CAGUUACAUAGUAACAGCUCCUCCAUUGAUGGUUUUAGGUUCAGCUCUGCUCUUUCCUAUUUACAUGGCCGUGGACACAUUUCCCUUCUCAAAGCCUCCUUUUCCUUUCUGCAAAUAAUUCCAUCUACCUCAGCUAUGGUUGUAGAGGUCAACAGAGGAUAAAUGAAGGUUCUUGGCACACAGUGAACACUCGGUAAGUUUUAUCUGUGUUCAGAUAUAUGUAUAAUCUCUCCCACUAACUCUAUGCUGUUUAAUUCCUAUCAUUUCUAAAACCAAUAACUAUAGCAUUUUUUAGCAUUUUCACAGCUAUCAUUUAAUUUGUGCUUUACAAUACCUGUGAAAUAGGUAGAUGUGUUAGUAAGCUUCCCAUCACUGUGAGAGAAUGCCUGAGAAAACAACUUAGAGGAGGAAAGAUUUAUUUGGGCUCAUGGUUUCAGAGGCUUCAGUCCAUGGUCAGCUGGCUCCAUUACUUGGACCUGAAGUGAGGCAGAACAUCAUGGAAGGAGGGUCUGUUGAGGGAAAGCUGCUCACCUCAUGGCAGCUGGGAAGCACAGAAAGAGAGAAGGAGGGGACUGGGAACAAAAGUCCUCCUCCAAGGACCCACUCCCUCCAUUUAGGUUCCACUUUUUACAGUUUCCACCACCUACCAGCAGUCCCUUCAGCUAGGAAUCCCUUCAUGGAUUAGAGCAUUAAUGAGAUCCAGGCCCUCACGAUCCAAUCACUUCCCCAAAUUUUCACCCCUGCAGAUUGCUGCAUUAGGGACCAAGCCUUCAACAAAGGAGCCUCUGGGGGACACUUCAUAUCCAAACCAUAAUAGUAGAGCAGAUAAUACUAUUCUUCUCAUCUUCUAGAUUAGUGAGUACAGUACGGCCCCCUUAUCCAAGGAGGACAUGUUCCAAGAUCCCCAGAGGAUGCCUGAAACCACAAGUAGUGCUAGACCCUAUAUAACUUUUCUUCCUAUCCAUACAUAUAUGAUACAUAUGUGAGAAACUUUAAAAUAUACAUUAGUUAGGUGAGAGAUUAACAAUAAUAAUAAAAUAGAAUAAUUAUAACAACACUAUAAGAACAGCUUUGAAGGAAAGACUUAUGGUCUCUCAGAAUAUCCAAUGAUAUCCUACUCAUGCUUCUUUUAUUGAUAGUGGGUAACUGACACUGGAAAGUGCAGAUAAGGGGGACACUGUGCACAAGCUCAGAGAGAUGGAUUCAAUUGCUCAAGGUUGCAGCCUCUUCCCUCUUGCUGGGUCCUUCCCAUGUGCACUAUACCUGCACAACUGGGUGUUACCUUAAACCAAUCACAAAGUGGCCCUCUCUCAAACCGCCCCUCAAUUUCCCCAUGACAACCAAGCUCUUCACAAGAGUUGCCAGCAUGUGCUACCUCCAUGUCCUCUUUCUAUCUCAUCAGCCUGCCCCAUUUGAUUUGUGCCUCUGCCUAAUUGCUCCUGGAUAAAGCCUUACUGGCCUCAAGCUCUCUGUUCCCUCUGACUCUUGCCCUCAACAAUCUUAUCCAUUCCUGUGUUUCCAAAUGUCAUCCCAAAAGUUUGUCACCUGUGUAGGCUCCUCUGGUCUUGAUGACUCCCAGGUCAGGGGUGGGAGCAGGUUAGGAGAACCCUUUCACAGAAGUCCAGACAACAACGAGGACCUGAGCCAGGGUGGGGAUGAUGGAAUUAGAAAAAAUUAAAAAAUAAAAAAAACAAUGAAUACAAAAGAUGCUUGGAAAGAUUCCCAUGAUGUGGAGACUACAUGGCUUUGGGAUUCCAAGGGAGUCACGGAUUCUAACAGUGGGUUCUUGGGAGACACUCAGGGAUAGUACUGCAGGGGAAGCUAUUGGGGCGUGUCUGAUGCAGGUUGUAGACCUGAGCCUGCAGCGAGGGAGUGACAUCUAAACAGAAAGCCCAGUGGCUAGGGAAUGUUUGCUCAGAAUCCUUUUCCUUACACUUUCUCUGCCUAGUGAUGCAGGCACCCUCUUCUCCCCACCAGGGCCUCCCACUUUGACAGCAGAGUGGAUAGAAGGAGAAAUGUUGCUUCUCCAUGAUGUAGGUCAUUAUCACAUCUACAAGGAACCAUGGUAGUGUAUUUUAGAGCAUCAAUAUAAAAUCAUAGAGUUCCUGACAAGUUGUCUAAAGGAUAGGGGACAGGUGGAAGUGUGUGACCUGUUACCUUCGAACCUUGUGGCUACACUGGACAGACCUAAGGACACCUGAAGGCAGAACUGGUCAUCUUAGGAGUUUCUCAAGGUCUCUAUAUUUUAAAAAACCCUAUACUCCUGUGCUUCUUGGAGCUAGGUUUGGAGCUACAAAGAAGUUCUGAAGAAUUGAACAACUACUGAAAGCAAUCUGAAAUCUCCCUGAAUUAGGUCCAGUAGAGAUGAAGUUGUAGUUAACCCACAUGGCCACAUAGGGUCAGCACACACAAACGUACCUCUUCAUGAAGUGGUCCCAUUGGCUUUGGUCUUAGUCUCAGUGCACCAUCUACCCUCCCACAGACUCUCAGAGCCUCACUCAGGGAUCUAACUUUCUCAGGACCUGGCCUUCAACCCUCAUCCUUGUAUCCUAGGAUGGGAGGGCCAUCUACCUCCUGAUGCCCUCUGGAGUCUCCGAGCCAUGUUGUCACUUACCACCUCAAUGUCCCAGCACCUUCCUUCCUACUUUAAGCUUGUCCUAUCCACCUGCCUUGUCUCUCCAAGUCCUAGUCAUAGUCUCCGACCUGGCCAGCUUCUCACCACUGGCAGCCAUAGCUUUAUCUCUAAGACUGCAAGUGAUUUCACAGAGUGUGACAAAUCUGUGAGCAGAAUGACCAAGGAGAGGAAUCCAGCAGCCUCAUACCAUGGGUUUUGAGUGCCACCAUGGGGCACGUUGUUCAGGGACCCGAUAUCUAGUUGAUGCAGAGUAGCAUCCAGGGAAAAGCCACUGAUAUGCUUUGAAAAAACGUUAACUUUCUGGUUUUGUUAACAAUCAAGUCUGCCUUUUAUUCUCAGAAAAUGGGGAAAAUUCAAGGCAAUCAUGUGGCAUGAGUGCUUCUUUAGCACAGUGGUCUUAUCCUGGACAUGUUUGCCAAAAGCCAGUUUNUUUUAGCAUUUUCACAGCUAUCAUUUAAUUUGUGCUUUACAAUACCUGUGAAAUAGGUAGAUGUGUUAGUAAGCUUCCCAUCACUGUGAGAGAAUGCCUGAGAAAACAACUUAGAGGAGGAAAGAUUUAUUUGGGCUCAUGGUUUCAGAGGCUUCAGUCCAUGGUCAGCUGGCUCCAUUACUUGGACCUGAAGUGAGGCAGAACAUCAUGGAAGGAGGGUCUGUUGAGGGAAAGCUGCUCACUUCAUGGCAGCUGGGAAGCACAGAAAGAGAGAAGGAGGGGACUGGGAACAAAAGUCCUCCUCCAAGGACCCACUCCCUCCAUUUAGGUUCCACUUUUUACAGUUUCCACCACCUCCCAGCAGUCCCUUCAGCUAGGAAUCCCUUCAUGGAUUAGAGCAUUAAUGAGAUCCAGGCCCUCAUGAUCCAAUCACUUCCCCAAAUUUUCACCCCUGCAGAUUGCUGCAUUAGGGACCAAGCCUUCAACAAAGGAGCCUUUGGGGGACACUUCAUAUCCAAACCAUAAUAGUAGAGCAGAUAAUACUAUUCUUCUCAUCUUCUAGAUUAGUGAGUACAGUAGGGCCCCCUUAUCCAAGGAGGACAUGUUCCAAGAUCCCCAGAGGAUGCCUGAAACCACAAGUAGUGCUAGACCCUAUAUAACUUUUCUUCCUAUCCAUACAUAUAUGAUACAUAUGUGAGAAACUUUAAAAUAUACAUUAGUUAGGUGAGAGAUUAACAAUAAUAAUAAAAUAGAAUAAUUAUAACAACACUAUAAGAACAGCUUUGAAGGAAAGACUUAUGGUCUCUCAGAAUAUCCAAUGAUAUCCUACUCAUGCUUCUUUUAUUGACAGUGGGUAACUGACACUGGAAAGUGCAGAUAAGGGGGACACUGUGCACAAGCUCAGAGAGAUGGAUUCAAUUGCUCAAGGUUGCAGCCUCUUCCCUCUUGCUGGGUCCUUCCCAUGUGCACUAUACCUGCACAACUGGGUGUUACCUUAAACCAAUCACAAAGUGGCCCUCUCUCAAACCGCCCCUCAAUUUCCCCAUGACAACCAAGCUCUUCACAAGAGUUGCCAGCAUGUGCUACCUCCAUGUCCUCUUUCUAUCUCAUCAGCCUGCCCCAUUUGAUUUGUGCCUCUGCCUAAUUGCUCCUGGAUAAAGCCUUACUGGCCUCAAGCUCUCUGUUCCCUCUGACUCUUGCCCUCAACAAUCUUAUCCAUUCCUGUGUUUCCAAAUGUCAUCCCCAAAGUUUGUCACCUGUGUAGGCUCCUCUGGUCUUGAUGACUCCCAGGUCAGGGGUGGGAGCAGGUUAGGAGAACCCUUUCACAGAAGUCCAGACAACAACGAGGACCUGAGCCAGGGUGGGGAUGAUGGAAUUAGAAAAAAUUAAAAAAUAAAAAAAAACAAUGAAUACAAAAGAUGCUUGGAAAGAUUCCCAUGAUGUGGAGACUACAUGGCUUUGGGAUUCCGAGGGAGUCACGGAUUCUAACAGUGGGUUCUUGGGAGACACUCAAGGAUAGUACUGCAGGGGAAGCUAUUGGGGCAUGUCUGAUGCAGGUUGUAGACCUGAGCCUGCAGCGAGGGAGUGACAUCUAAACAGAAAGCCCAGUGGCUAGGGAAUGUUUGCUCAGAAUCCUUUUCCUUACACUUUCUCUGCCUAGUGAUGCAGGCACCCUCUUCUCCCCACCAGGGCCUCCCACUUUGACAGCAGAGUGGAUAGAAGGAGAAAUGUUGCUUCUCCAUGAUGUAGGUCAUUAUCACAUCUACAAGGAACCAUGGUAGUGUAUUUUAGAGCAUCAAUAUAAAAUCAUAGAGUUCCUGACAAGUUGUCUAAAGGAUAGGGGACAGGUGGAAGUGUGUGACCUGUUACCUUCGAACCUUGUGGCUACACUGGACAGACCUAAGGACACCUGAAGGCAGAACUGGUCAUCUUAGGAGUUUCUCAAGGUCUCUAUAUUUUAAAAAACCCUAUACUCCUGUGCUUCUUGGAGCUAGGUUUGGAGCUACAAAGAAGUUCUGAAGAAUUGAACAACUACUGAAAGCAAUCUGAAAUCUCCCUGAAUUAGGUCCAGUAGAGAUGAAGUUGUAGUUAACCCACAUGGCCACAUAGGGUCAGCACACACAAACGUACCUCUUCAUAAAGUGGUCCCAUUGGCUUUGGUCUUAGUCUCAGUGCACCAUCUACCCUCCCACAGACUCUCAGAGCCUCACUCAGGGAUCUAACUUUCUCAGGACCUGGCCUUCAACCCUCAUCCUUGUAUCCUAGGAUGGGAGGGCCAUCUACCUCCUGAUGCCCUCUGGAGUCUCCGAGCCGUGUUGUCACUUACCACCUCAAUGUCCCAGCACCUUCCUUCCUACUUUAAGCUUGUCCUAUCCACCUGCCUUGUCUCUCCAAGUCCUAGUCAUAGUCUCCGACCUGGCCAGCUUCUCACCACUGGCAGCCAUAGCUUUAUCUCUAAGACUGCAAGUGAUUUCACAGAGUGUGACAAAUCUGUGAGCAGAAUGACCAAGGAGAGGACUCCAUCAGCCUCAUACCAUGGGUUUUGAGUGCCACCAUGGGGCACAUUGUUCAGGGACCCGAUAUCUAGUUGAUGCAGAGUAGCAUCCAGGGAAAAGCCACUGAUAUGCUUUGAAAAAAUGUUAACUUUCUGGUUUUGUUAACAAUCAAGUCUGCCUUUUAUUCUCAGAAAAUGGGGAAAAUUCAAGGCAAUCAUGUGGCAUGAGUGCUUCUUUAGCACAGUGGUCUUAUCCUGGACAUUUUUGCCAAAAGCCAGUUUUCCUUUUGCUCUUCUGGGAUGUCUGAUCUACUUAGUUCAGGGAGGAAAUGUCAUUGAAGUAGCCAUAUAUGCCUGGCUGUCACAGGUGGCUGAGCAGCAUGACACAACUUCUGGAGUCGUGGAGAAGGGACUCUGAAGAAGAACUCUGAGAAUGUGGGUGACAAUGAGUGCAUGCCAGCAUUUUGACCUUCUACAGAGUCCAGUUCACCUCCUCCCACUCUGGAGAAAGUCUGGGAUCUUUCCAGAGGAAUGGAAGAAGUGUUGCACGUUGCCCUUGAGUCCCUGCUUCAAAUCCCACUGUCCUGAGUAACCA
rnacentral:lncRNA from 1 species